rnacentral:lncRNA from 1 species
AAAACUCUAUACCAAAAAAUCCCUAAAGGUGUCUAGCUUACUCAUGUAAAAUUUCAAAGUCACUGGAUCAACCAUCAUCAUUUCAUGAUCAAAAUGGCAAGCAAGGUGCAAGCAAACACAUGUUCACAUAAACCCUAGGCAAUUUAAAAAUACACUCGUGCACAAUUUUUGCAAAAAUCACCAUAAAAUAGUAGAGAUCUUGAGGAAAACAAUGGAAAAAAUCUCAUGUUUCAUUGGACAAUCCAUCAUAAAGUUA